AUGGCUUCCCUUGGAGACGACGGGGAUGAGAUUCAGGAGGAUGUCCAGGAAGAAGGAGAGGAUCAUCAAGUCCAAGUCCCCGUGGCUGAAGAGGAAGAUCAUGCCGCUGCUCCACAAAGGGUUGCAUCCGGAGGAGAUGCUGGUGACCUUCUUCGUGGGAGAGGAGGAGAGGCUGCAGCCGCCGUUGCUGCCGUUGGAGGGAAUGCAGGCGCCAUCGCCGUCCAAAGCCUGCUGUACGAUGCUCUUACAGUUGAAAGAUAUGUAAGGGACCGGCAAUGGGAACUUCUUCAGGAGUAUCUGCGUCAGUUCAUCCGACGCGCCGGUCAUGAUUACCGCUUACACCAUAUCCCCAUGUUUCACUGUCAUCGUGGUCACCUGAUGAAUUUGAUGGCUGCCGGGCAACACUCACAGGCAAUGGCAUACUUCAUGGAUCAGCUUAAUGGAGAUGCCAUGAGAAACUUUCCCACUCAGUUUGCUAAUGGUGACCGCAUCAAAUCUGAGGUGGACAUGAUAUGGGAGUCCAUCACAAGGGGGAAUCCCAUACAGGAACCAGAAAAUGUUGCUCAGAGGAUAAAUGAUUAUAUGAGAUUCCAUUUCCCACGUGCAAUCGGGUAUCCAUGGAGGCAGGGGAGGAACUUACUAUGGCGUUUCGCAUUCAGAAUUUGCAUGCGACCAAGCGGACAUGCUACUUUCAGAUGCCUUUUGUGUCAAAUGGUAUUUGACAAAGGUAGCAUUCAGUCAAAGCUUGAAAAACAUUUGGAUGGUAAUAAUUGCCCGGGUAUGACAGAGCAUGCUACGAAUGUAUGGAGGGAAAUUGAGUUCCAGAUUAAAGCAGAGAAGAAAUCGGCUUUGAAGAGGCCUUCCAGUUCCCAGGUCAUCUCCAAAGGCCAUUCAGAAAGUAUAAAAAUGCCGAGACUUCAGUCUGCCAGUACUAAAGCCUCAAAAGAGAUCGCAGUUGGAGACCCAAGGCCCAUGGAAACGCAGGGUAAUAUUGGAUACGCCCUUCUAGUGAGCCUUUCUGCAGUUAUCCCUCAAGACUAUGCUGAUAAACUGGAAAUAUGCAUUGGCAUCAUUAAUGAAUCCAUGGACGAGGAGAUCCGCUGGAAGGAGGCAAUGAAUGGGAGAUCAAUAAUGCUAGACCUGCUUCUGUGGACGGAUGUGACAAAGGAUCAGUGUAAAGAACUGAGUAACUACUUCAAUUCCAUCUGUUGUUCAGUGCAGCAACCCCGUCCGCAGCAACCUAAUGCACCACCACAAGAGAUGGUCCCGCCUACUGGUCAUAUUGAUUUUGACAACUUAAAUCUUGAAGGCCUCUUGAACUGCUUCAGUUAUGAUGAAGAAGAGAAAAUUUACAUUGAGGCACCGCCUACCCCGUAUGAUCAUAUAUGGGAUUACGUGGAUCAAGAAGGUGAUGGUGGCCUUGAUGAACCUGAUGGCAACCCUGAAGACCAAUAG
rnacentral:rRNA from 1 species